UACGAAGGGGGGCUAGCGUUGUUCGGAAUCACUGGGCGUAAAGCGCACGUAGGCGGAUCUUUUAAGUCAGGGGUGAAAAUCCCGAGGCUCAACCCCGGAACUGCCUUGAUACUGGGGAUCUCGAGUCCGGGAGAGGUGAGUGGAACUGCGAGUGUAGAGGUGAAAUUCGUAGAUAUUCGCAAGAACACCAGUGGCGAAGGCGGCUCACUGGCCCGGAACUGACGCUGAGGUGCGAAAGCGUGGGGAGCAAACAGGG
rnacentral:rRNA from 1 species